rnacentral:snRNA from 1 species
AUGGCUUCUCAGCCCCUUGGCUAUGAUCAAAUGUAGUAUCCAUUCUUAUCAGUUUAAUAUCUGAUACGUCCUCUAUCCAAGGACAAUAUAUUAAAUGGAUUUUUGGAGCAGGGAAAAAGAAAAAUU